rnacentral:misc_RNA from 1 species
UUUCCGUAGGUGAACCUGCGAAAGGAUCAUUAAUGUAACCUGACCGUUCCUUUGCCGUAAAACGCACUGGAUUUGAAAGGGAGAUAUCAUACACCCUAUGUUUAUUUACUUUUGUUGCUUUGGUUGGCUGUCCUUUACGGCGUUGGACUCGGCUGAUCGCGCCCGCCAGAGGACCCAAACUCUUUUAUUAGUGAUGUCUGAGUACUAUAUAAUAGUUAAAACUUUCAACAACGGAUCUCUUGGUUCUG